GGAAGGUGGGGGCGGUAGAGGCGGAGGCUGAGCAGGACCAAGACCAGGACUAGGACCAGGGAGAGGACGCGGAGAUGGGUGGGGUGAGAUCGAGGGGAGGACCCAGGAGGCGGCGGCGCAUAGGAGGGGCGCUGCAGCCAAGCCACCAGCCUAGCUGUAGAGUGCUGUACUCCACAUACUCCUGGAGAUCCAGCCCCGCAGAUCGCGCAUCCCUGCCGCCGUUCGCCUUUAGGCAUCCUAAACUUGAGCGGCAGCUCGGUUUCAACCGAUCGACUGCUUGCUUCAAAUCAGACAGCAUUGCGACCCAGACACCGGAGUCCGCCGAGUGAAAGCACAACGCAGAGUAGGACAAGACCAAGAAAACAGCCACGCGAAGCAGCAACUCUAGGUUGGGAGUGCAGAAGCCAACAAGUGAGAAGGCGCCGCGUUUCCGGGGCGCAGCUAGAAUGCUAGAGCAGGCGCCAGAGAAGACAGCUAGAGUCGGAAUCAGAGCCCAAACCUCUCUCCUGGAGGCGGCUCAGCUUCUUUCUUUUCUAGACCUUCUUCGGUUGCGCUGGGCUUCCUUUUAUCCGGGUAGGAGCCACAUCCCUGGGGAAUAUGCAGCGCGCGUGGAUCCUGCUCACCUUGGGCUUGAUGGCCUGUGUGUCCUCAGAGACGGGAACACCAGUUGCUACUAGCAAAGAAGGAGAAUGUUCACAGAAGAGGAAUGAGUGGAAAGAAGGUUUGAUACCACUGGGUAAAAUGAUUGUGAGAAAAGAAAUUUCAUAUAUGGGGAACAACACACACAACCUGGAAGCAUGACAGAAACUUGCCUUAUUUGGAAAAUUUAUAGGGAAUUUGCACUGUGGUACCAAGGAAUGGUGAAAGAUGCAGGAAAUGAAAAGCAAGAAGUGGGCAAUUUAUAAGUCUUAAAGUUCUAAGGAGACCAUGCUGUUGUCUGCCACACCCACUCCAGUGAAUUCUGUGUGUGAAGCUUGGCCACAGUCCUGAGGCAAAAAGUUUCACAGAAACUUGUCUGCUGGAGAGUCUCUGGUGCCCCAUAACCAGAUUUGUCCCUAAGAUAGGGUGGAGGGUCUUUCAUGCUUUCUUAGAGUAUUUUACUAGAUAAGAGCUAAAAAAUCUCAGGGCAAGUUCUACAAAGAAAACUUAGAAUUACAGCCGAGGCACUCCCAUAUGCAGGAAUUUACAAUGGCCUAAGAAGAAGGAGGGUUGUGGCUUAAGGAGGAACUACAGUAUUACAUUAUUCAUGAGCAAGAGCAGAACCCCCUGGUGCAAGCUUUCAAAAGGCUCAGAGGAAUAGCAUAAAUUGUGACUAGAGUGUGAAAUCCUCACCUGGCUCCCUAAUGGCUAACUUUAGAAAGGGCUGCCUUUUAUCUCAGUUGUAACCACUGCCUGGUUCCUGCUAGUAUUUAUGUAUGCAUUUCUCUGUUUUUUGCAAGAUAAUAUCAAUGUACCUUGGCUGAUGUGUCACCUA
rnacentral:lncRNA from 1 species